UACGUAGGGGGCAAGCGUUAUCCGGAAUUACUGGGUGUAAAGGGUGCGUAGGUGGCAUGGUAAGUCAGAUGUGAAAACUUGGGGCUCAACUUCAAGAUUGCAUCUGAAACUGCUAAGCUAGAGUGCAGGAGAGGAAAGCGGAAUUCCGAGUGUAGCGGUGAAAUGCGUAGAGAUUCGGAGGAACACCAGUAGCGAAGGCGGCUUUCUGGACUGUAACUGACACUGAGGAACGAAAGCGUGGGGAGCGAACAGG
rnacentral:rRNA from 1 species